rnacentral:lncRNA from 1 species
CACAAAUUUACCUUCCUUCCUAAAUAAAACAUGACAGAUUAUAUUACAACUUGUUAGCCUCUCCUUUAAAAAGUCUGUGACAUUAUUAAAGAGGUGACGGAAUGCUUGUUUUGUUUUGCAGAGACGGAAUGCUUGUUUUGCAAACCCCAACACAUCUUUCACUGUGGACCAUUGCUAUUACUUCAUUACCACAGUUGCUCAGAUCUCAAGAACAUGGUGAAACUAGGAGGAGCAGAGAUGACCUGAUCCCUGAAGUGAACUGCUCAGCUAUUCUGUGUACCUCAGGAGGUCUGCAAGUGUGUGGUUAGGUAAAAACUGAGCUGUGCAAACUCACUGUAUCCAAGCUCUUCUCAUGAGAGAGCAGAACAACCUGGCAAGCUUAAAGGCAAGUGUUUUCGUUCUUUUAAUUAAAUAGGCUGUGACAAAAUUAACAAAACUAGCCCAGAACCAACCAGCCCGGUAAGUGUCGUGCAAAUCUUGCAGUAACAAAAGACCAUCCGAGAGACUACACGUUGGUCUCCAGUCCUAGCAAGCGUCCCAUUCUCUCCACAUUCUUAUCAAUUGUAGCUUGACAUGUUAUCUCCUUGGCACAUUCCAUAGGAAACCAGCCUCUUUCUCCAUCUCGUAGUCGUUCCCCCU